rnacentral:misc_RNA from 1 species
AUGACUAGAAGGCUUGAUAAUCUGUAGGAGAAAGGCCCUCAAUGAAUUUGCCUUGGCAAUUACAGCCAAUUCCCCCUUGUUUGAUGAUGAUGAUCUACCGGGUACCCUUCGGAAAUUCCUGUGAAGACUACAUCUGAAUGAUCCAGGAUGUUUGGUGGGAGAGCACAGACAAAUCCUGCCUUGUGCAGAUUGUUGUUGCUGUGAUUUUGAAUCUGAAGGUGCACGUUUUGAUGCCAUACAAUAAAAAUUAAUUAAUACACCUCUAUGAGACAGAGAGAGAGAGAGAGAG